GACGAACGCUGGCGGCGUGCUUAACACAUGCAAGUCGAACGGAAAGGCCCUGCUUUUGUGGGGUGCUCGAGUGGCGAACGGGUGAGUAACACGUGAGUAACCUGCCCUUGACUUUGGGAUAACUUCAGGAAACUGGGGCUAAUACCGGAUAGGAGCUCCUGCUGCAUGGUGGGGGUUGGAAAGUUUCGGCGGUUGGGGAUGGACUCGCGGCUUAUCAGCUUGUUGGUGGGGUAGUGGCUUACCAAGGCUUUGACGGGUAGCCGGCCUGAGCGGGUGACCGGCCACAUUGGGACUGGGAUGCGGCCCAGACUCCUACGGGAGGCAGCAGUGGGGAAUAUUGCACAAUGGGCGGAAGCCUGAUGCAGCAACGCCGCGUGCGGGAUGACGGCCUUCGGGUUGUAAACCGCUUUCGCCUGUGACGAAGCGUGAGUGACGGUAAUGGGUAAAGAAGCACCGGCUAACUACGUG
rnacentral:rRNA from 1 species